GAUGAACGCUGGCGGCGUGCCUAAUACAUGCAAGUCGAGCGAACGGACGAGAAGCUUGCUUUUUUGAUGUUAGCGGCGGACGGGUGAGUAACACGUGGAUAACCUACCUAUAAGACUGGGAUAACUUCGGGAAACCGGAGAUAAUACCGGAUAAUAUUUUGAACGGCAUGGUUCAAAAGUGAAAGACGGUCUUGCUGUCACUUAUAGAUGGAUCCGCGCUGCAUUAGCUAGUUGGUAAGGUAACGGCUUACCAAGGCAACGAUGCAUAGCCGACCUGAGAGGGUGAUCGGCCACACUGGAACUGAGACACGGUCCAGACUCCUACGGGAGGCAGCAGUAGGGAAUCUUCCGCAAUGGGCGAAAGCCUGACGGAGCAACGCCGCGUGAGUGAUGAAGGUCUUCGGAUCGUAAAACUCUGUUAUUAGGGAAGAACAUAUGUGUAAGUAACUGUGCACAUCUUGACGGUACCUAAUCAGAAAGCCACGGCUAACUACGUG
rnacentral:rRNA from 1 species